rnacentral:rRNA from 1 species
CGUUGUCCGGAUUAUUGGGCGUAAAGAGCUUGUAGGCGGUUUGUCGCGUCUGCUGUGAAAGGCCGGGGCUUAACUCCGUGUAUUGCAGUGGGUACGGGCAGACUAGAGUGCAGUAGGGGAGACUGGAAUUCCUGGUGUAGCGGUGGAAUGCGCGGAUAUCAGGAGGAACACCGAUGGCGAAGGCAGGUCUCUGGGCUGUAACUGACGCUGAGAAGCGAAAGCAUGGGGAGCGAACAGGAUUAGAUACCCUGGUAGUCCAUGCCGUAAACGUUGGGCACUAGGUGUGGGGGACAUUCCACGUUUUCCGCGCCGUAGCUAACGCAUUAAGUGCCCCGCCUGGGGAGUACGGCCGCAAGGCUAAAACUCAAAGAAAUUGACGGGGGCCCGCACAAGCGGCGGAGCAUGCGGAUUAAUUCGAUGCAACGCGAAGAACCUUACCAAGGCUUGACAUAUACUGGACCGCAUCAGAGAUGGUGUUUCCCUUCGGGGCUGGUAUACAGGUGGUGCAUGGUUGUCGUCAGCUCGUGUCGUGA